rnacentral:rRNA from 1 species
UUUUUAUAGAAAUUAUUAUAAAUAUAACCUGCACAAUGCUAAUGUAAAUUGCCGCAGAAUUUAACUGUGCUAAGGUAGCAUAAUCAUUAUCCUUUUAAUUAAAGGCUAGAAUGAAUGGUUUAACAUUUAAAUAUCUUUUUUUUAAUAAUUAUUAGAAAUUAUAUUAAUAAUAAAAAUAUUAUUUUAAAUUAAAAAGACGACAAGACCCUAUCAAACUUUACUAUAGUUUAGCUGGGGUAGCUAUUUAAUCUUAAUUUUAAUAAUAAAUUAUAUAAAAAAUGACCUAAUAAAAUUAAAUAUUUGAUUAAGUUACUGUAGGGAUAACAGCAUAAUAUUUUUUUAAAGCUCAUAUUAAAAAAAAAAAUUAUGACCUCGAUGUUGAAUUAAUUACCUAUAAAGUGCAAGAACUUUAUCAGGAGGUCUGUUCGACCUUUAAAUUAUUACA